ACUGAAAGCAUGCCUGUGUUCCUGCUGUGUAACCUUGGAAAUGUCACUUCCUCGCUUGACCUCAUUUUCCUGUCUGCACAUUCUCCUGUCAUGCUCCAUACAAGUCUUGCUGUGACUUCCCUUUACAUGUAGAUUCAAAUCCACAUGCCUCAUCUCAGCCUCCUUAGUGGCUGCCACAACCCCCACCUCCUAGUUUAUGCAUCACAUGUAACUUCUUUCCCAUGAAUGUAGACUAAACUUAUUGCCUCACUUCUAACAAUGGAAUAUGGCAAAGGCCAUAGAUAUCUCUUCCAGGAUUCAGUUAUGAAACAACCGUAGCUAAUGUUGCACUCUCUUUCUUCUUCUCUCCAUAUUUAUCUAUUUCUCUCUCUCUCUCAUGUGCCCUAGGACCUCAAGAGGGCAACAGAUGGAGGGGCCCUCAGGGCCUUUGCAUAGACUGAAUUCUCCCAAUGAGCUUGGAAGUGGAUCCUGCCCCAAAUGAGCCCCUAUUGAAACAGCAGCCCCAGCCUUAAGUGACAGCUUAUGGCAGAAGUGCCCAGCUGAGCUCUGCUGGGUUCUUGAGCUACAGAAACUGAUGAGAUGAUGAAUGUUUCUUGCUUCAUAUGCUGUGUGAGGACAUUUCAGUCAAUGACAGACCACAUAUGUGAUGCUGGUUUCGUGAUGCUAUAAUGGAGCUGAAAUAUUCCUAUUGUUCAGUGACGCCAUUGCCAUAGUAAUGUUGCAGCCCAAGGGGACAGCAAGGGUGAUCAGGCUUGUGGGACCGUGGAGAGUGAGAAACCUGAUGAAACAUUGAGGCUGAUCAGAUAUCAAUGAUGAAUUGUUCUUGCUAAACUGACUUUUCAAGAUUAAGGCUGUCCCAGCGACCAUCAACUGGAAUCAAAGGGCUGGACCAGUCUGGCUUGAAUAAUUAUCCCUGCCUGCAAGAAAAGGGUAAUGCUGCUGCCUUACAAAGCAAAAGGUAACAGGGCAAACAACAGACGCAUGGAAAAGCCUGAAAGAAAAGUCAGGAAAAUGAGAUAAUUUGAAAAAUAAGGAAGCAUUUUGAAAGCUUUCACAUAUUUCUAAAAAUCUUGAAUGGCACACUCUGCCCCAACAAAAGUUUUGGGGAAGGCUAAGAUCUCAUGCAUGCCUGAAAUUUAUUCUAUGAGUAACAGGGAGUGAAGGCAAAAGUCGAGUUGUGGACUGCGUGGCUGUGUUAAAGGCAUGGUUCAUUGCAGAGGCAGACUACAAUUGUGAAGAUAGGAAAUGCGUAUUCUCUGGACAGUUAAAAAUUCCUCUCUCCAAUCAAAAGCCAGCAACCAAUGAAACAUGUGUAUCAGUGAUCACUGAUGACAAAUAAUACAGCUUUACAAAUAAACCAAAAUGGUCACUAACUAAGUAACUGCAACUCACAACAAACAGUCAAAAAGCCCAGGCAGGGAGGAGAAUUUGAUUUCCAGAUUUAGUACAGUAUAGUAUUCAGCAUGUUUAUUUUUCAAAAAUAAAGAUGAUGAGGCAGCA